rnacentral:rRNA from 1 species
AGAGUUUGAUCAUGGCUCAGGACGAACGCUGGCGGCAUGCUUAACACACGCAAGUCGAACGGGGGACACUUGUUAGCUUGCUAAUGAGUGUACCUAGUGGCGGACGGGUGAGUAACGCGUGGAUAACCUACCCGUAUCUUUGGGAUAACACCGGGAAACCGGUGCUAAUACCGGAUAUGCUCCAGAGGACACAUGUUCUUUGGAGGAAAGGAGGCUUUUGCUUUCGGAUACGGAUGGGUCCGCGUCCCAUUAGCUAGUUGGUGGGGUAACGGCCUACCAAGGCGACGAUGGGUAGCCGGCCUGAGAGGGUGACCGGCCACACUGGGACUGAGACACGGCCCAGACUCCUACGGGAGGCAGCAGUGGGGAAUAUUCCGCAAUGGGCGCAAGCCUGACGGAGCAAUGCCGCGUGAGUGAAGAAGGCCUUCGGGUUGUAAAACUCUGUCAUUUGGGACGAAAGACUAAAGGCUAAUAUCCUUUAGGUUGACGGUACCAAAGGAGGAAGCCCCGGCUAACUACGUGCCAGCAGCCGCGGUAAUACGUAGGGGGCGAGCGUUGUCCGGAAUCAUUGGGCGUAAAGGGCGCGUAGGCGGUUAGGUAAGUCAGGUGUGAAAACCUCGGGCUCAACUUGAGGACUGCACCUGAAACUACCUGACUUGAGGGCAGGAGAGGAAAGUGGAAUUCCAAGUGUAGCGGUGAAAUGCGUAGAUAUUUGGAAGAACACCGGUGGCGAAGGCGGCUUUCUGGUCUGUACCUGACGCUGAGGCGCGA